UACGUAGGGUGCGAGCGUUAAUCGGAAUUACUGGGCGUAAAGCGUGCGCAGGCGGUUCGUUAAGUUCGUUGUGAAAGCCCCGGGCUCAACCUGGGAACUGCAAUGGAAACUGGCGGGCUUGAGUGUGGCAGAGGGGGGUGGAAUUCCGCGUGUAGCAGUGAAAUGCGUAGAUAUGCGGAGGAACACCGAUGGCGAAGGCAAUCCCCUGGGCCUGCACUGACGCUCAUGCACGAAAGCGUGGGAGCAAACAGG
rnacentral:rRNA from 1 species